UCAGUCGACUCCUACGGGGAGGCAGCAGUGGGGAAUAUUGCACAAUGGGCGCAAGCCUGAUGCAGCCAUGCCGCGUGUAUGAAGAAGGACCUUCGGGUUGUAAAGUACUUUCAGCAGUGAGGAAGGUGGGGUAUGGUUAAUAGCAUACUCAUUUGACGUUAGCUGCAGAAGAAGCACCGGCUAACUCCGUGCCAGCAGCCGCGGUAAUACGGAGGGUGCGAGCGUUAAUCGGAAUUACUGGGCGUAAAGCGCAUGCAGGUGGUUUGUUAAGUCAGAUGUGAAAGACCCGGGGCUCAACCUCGGAAUUGCAUUUGAAACUGGCAAACUAGAGUACUGUAGAGGGGGGUAGGAAUUUCAGGUGUAGCGGUGAAAUGCGUAGAGAUCUGAAGGAAUACCGGUGGCGAAGGCGGCCCCCUCGGACAGAUACUGACACUCAGAUGCGAAAGCGUGGGGAGCAAACAGGAUUAGAUACCCUGGUAG
rnacentral:rRNA from 1 species